UUUAAAUGAAGACCAGAACAAAAGAUAAAACAUUUCAAUUAAUUUCUUAAAUUCAAAUUUUCAAAAUUAUCUUAAAUGUAAAAAGACAUUUAUAUAAAAGAAAGACGACAAGACCCUAUUGAACUUUACUACAGUUUAACUGGGGCAGUUAAUUAAUUAAUACUUUAAUAAAACUAUUUAAUUAAAUAGACCCAAUACCAUUGACUAAAUAAUCAAGUUACCAUAGGGAUAACAGCGUAAUAAUUAUCUAAAGAUCUUAUAUAAACACAAGUUUGCGACCUCGAUGUUGAAUUAAUAACCUAAUUAACGCAAAAGUUAUUAAAGGAAGUCUGUUCGACUUUUAAAAAAUUACAUGAUUUGAGUUCAGACCGGUAUAAGCCAGGUCGGUUUCUAUCUUCUAAUCAAAUCUUUACAGUACGAAAGGACCUAAAGAAAUAAUAUAAUUAUUUAAUUGACAGAACAAUGUGUUAGAAUUAGAAUCUAAUAAAGAUAUAAUUACAAUUAUUAUUACAUAUAUAAUUAUUGUCAUCAGA
rnacentral:rRNA from 1 species